rnacentral:rRNA from 1 species
UACAGAGGUCUCAAGCGUUGUUCGGAUUCAUUGGGCGUAAAGGGUGCGUAGGUGGUGAUGCAAGUCGGGUGUGAAAUCUCGGAGCUUAACUCCGAAACUGCAUUCGAUACUGCCGUGCUUGAGGACUGGAGAGGAGACUGGAAUUUACGGUGUAGCGGUGAAAUGCGUAGAUAUCGUAAGGAAGACCAGUGGCGAAGGCAGGUCUCUGGACAGUUCCUGACGCUGAGGCACGAAGGUCAGGGGAGCAAACGGG